rnacentral:rRNA from 1 species
ACUCCUACGGGAGGCAGCAGUGAGGAAUUUUGCGCAAUGGGGGAAACCCUGACGCAGCAACGCCGCGUGAGUGAAGAAGGCUUUCGGGUCGUAAAGCUCUGUCAAGAGGGAAGAAAGUGGGAGAUGGUAAUACUGUUUUCUAUUGACGGUACCUCUGAAGGAAGCACCGGCUAACUCCGUGCCAGCAGCCGCGGUAAUACGGGGGGUGCAAGCGUUAUUCGGAUUUAUUGGGCGUAAAGAGCGCGUAGGCGGUUUAUCAAGUCAGAUGUGAAAGCCCUGGGCUCAACCUGGGAAGUGCAUUUGAAACUAGUAGACUUGAGUAUGGGAGAGGGAAGUGGAAUUCCUGGUGUAGAGGUGAAAUUCGUAGAUAUCAGGAGGAACACCGGUGGCGAAGGCGACUUCCUGGACCAAUACUGACGCUGAGGCGCGAAGGCGUGGGGAGCAAACAGGAUUAGAUACCCUGGUAGUCCACGCAGUAAACGGUGAUCACUAGGUGUAGCGGGUAUUGACCCCUGCUGUGCCGCAGUUAACGCAUUAAGUAAUCCGCCUGGGGAGUACGAUCGCAAGGUUAAAACUCAAAGGAAUUGACGG